rnacentral:rRNA from 1 species
UACGAAGGGGGCUAGCGUUGUUCGGAAUUACUGGGCGUAAAGGGCGCGUAGGUGGCCCGGUCAGUUCGUGGUGAAAGCGCGGGGCUCAACCCUGCGUCGGCCAUGAAUACUGCCGCGGCUGGAGCACUGUAGAGGCAGGCGGAAUUCCGGGUGUAGCGGUGGAAUGCGUAGAGAUCCGGAAGAACACCGGUGGCGAAGGCGGCCUGCUGGGCAGUUGCUGACACUGAGGCGCGACAGCGUGGGGAGCAAACAGG